UACGGGGGGGGUAAGCGUUGUUCGGAAUUACUGGGCGUAAAGAGCUCGUAGGUGGUUUGUCGCGUUGUCCGUGAAAACUCACAGCUCAACUGUGGGCGUGCGGGCGAUACGGGCAGACUGGAGUACUGCAGGGGAGACUGGAAUUCCUGGUGUAGCGGUGGAAUGCGCAGAUAUCAGGAGGAACACCGGUGGCGAAGGCGGGUCUCUGGGCAGUAACUGACGCUGAGGAGCGAAAGCGUGGGGAGCAAACAGG
rnacentral:rRNA from 1 species